GACGAACGCUGGCGGCGUGCCUAAUACAUGCAAGUCGAACGCUUCUUUCCUCCAGAUUGCUUGCCUUCAAUCGAAAGGCGAACGGGCGGAUAGGUCAUCAAACCGUGGGUAACCUACCAACAAAAGGGGUAUAACCCUGGGAAAAUGGGGCUAAACCCGUUCAAAAGUUAAUCCGGCAUGGCUUAGGCUUGAAGGGGUCUUUCGGCCGUCGUUCGUGGAGGACCCGGGGGGGCUUUAGCUAGUUGGUGGGGUAAGGGCUCACCAAGGCGACGAUGCAUAGCCGACCUGAGAGGGUGAUCGGCCACACUGGGACUGAGACACGGCCCAGACUCCUACGGGAGGCAGCAGUAGGGAAUCUUCGACAAUGGACGAAAGUCUGACCGAGCAACGCCGCGUGAGUGAAGAAGGUUUUCGGAUCGUAAAACUCUGUUGUUAGAGAAGAACAAGGACGUUAGUAACUGAACGUCCCCUGACGGUAUCUAACCAGAAAGCCACGGCUAACUACGUG
rnacentral:rRNA from 1 species